GACGAACGCUGGCGGCGUGCCUAACACAUGCAAGUCGAGCGAGGGACUUCGGUCCCUAGCGGCGGACGGGUGAGUAACACGUGGGUAACCUGCCUCAUAGAGGGGGAUAGCCUCCCGAAAGGGAGAUUAAUACCGCAUAAUAUCAUGCUUUCGCAUGGAAGUAUGAUUAAAGGAGUAAUCCGCUAUGAGAUGGACCCGCGGCGCAUUAGCUAGUUGGUGAGGUAACGGCUCACCAAGGCGACGAUGCGUAGCCGACCUGAGAGGGUGAUCGGCCACAUUGGAACUGAGAUACGGUCCAGACUCCUACGGGAGGCAGCAGUGGGGAAUAUUGCACAAUGGGCGAAAGCCUGAUGCAGCAACGCCGCGUGAGUGAUGAAGGCCUUCGGGUUGUAAAGCUCUGUCUUUUGGGACGAUAAUGACGGUACCAAAGGAGGAAGCCACGGCUAACUACGUGCCAGCAGCCGCGGUAAUACGUAGGUGGCAAGCGUUGUCCGGAUUUACUGGGCGUAAAGGAUGCGUAGGUGGAUAUUUAAGUGGGAUGUGAAAUACCCGGGCUCAACUUGGGUGCUGCAUUCCAAACUGGAUAUCUAGAGUGCAGGAGAGGAAAGUGGAAUUCCUAGUGUAGCAGUGAAAUGCGUAGAUAUUAGGAGGAACACCAGUGGCGAAGGCGGCUUUCUGGACUGUAACUGACACUGAGGCAUGAAAGCGUGGGGAGCAAACAGGAUUAGAUACCCUGGUAGUCCACGCCGUAAACGAUGGGUACUAGGUGUGGGAGUUGUCAUGACUUCCGUGCCGUCGUUACACA
rnacentral:rRNA from 1 species